AUGAAUCUCAGAGAGCUUUACCUUGUUGGCAGAAAAGUAGUCCUUAAUUCUGGAAACCUUCCCAGGUUGUGGAGGGAUCCUUGGGGAGAGGAUCUACCACUUUGUGCUCAGUUUCCUGUCCUUUACAAUGUUUUCAAUGAUCAAGAGACCACUGUGGCUAGAUUUAGGGAGAAUGUGGAUGGUAAUUUCUUCAGAAGAAGGUUGCAUCCCCCUCUUCUUGAUAAAUGGAGAGAAGUCCAAGCUAGAGUGGGGUCAUGGCCUCUUUCUAACGACCCUGACCAAGUCGUUUGGACCUUGGGGAAGAAACGAAAAUUUACCACUAAAUCGGUUUAUGACUUCCUCGAGAGAACCCUAGCUGGAUGUAAUUUUAAGUGGAUUUGGAGGGCUAAAAUCCCUCUCAAAAUCCAAUUUUUUCUCUGGCAGCUGUCUCAGGACUCUGUUCUGACCAGAGAUGUCAUGAACAGGCGUGGGUGGCUGGGGAGACCCGUGUGCUCCUUCUGUGAUGAAAGGGAAGCAUCGCAACACCUAUUUUUUACUUGUCCCGUGGCUAGAGUAAUGUGGAGAAUAGUGGGCUGUGUGCUGGGUACGGAUCUUUGCCCUAACAACAUUUGGCAAUAUUUUGCUUGGUGUUACACCUUCCUCCCUGAUGGGGAGAGAUUUUGUACCUUUGGCCUAGCUGCUCUUUGA
rnacentral:rRNA from 1 species